rnacentral:rRNA from 1 species
UGGGGAAUUUUGGACAAUGGGCGAAAGCCUGAUCCAGCAAUGCCGCGUGUGUGAAGAAGGCCUUCGGGUUGUAAAGCACUUUUGUCCGGAAAGAAAUCCUUGGCUCUAAUACAGUCGGGGGAUGACGGUACCGGAAGAAUAAGCACCGGCUAACUACGUGCCAGCAGCCGCGGUAAUACGUAGGGUGCAAGCGUUAAUCGGAAUUACUGGGCGUAAAGCGUGCGCAGGCGGUUUGCUAAGACCGAUGUGAAAUCCCCGGGCUCAACCUGGGAACUGCAUUGGUGACUGGCAGGCUAGAGUAUGGCAGAGGGGGGUAGAAUUCCACGUGUAGCAGUGAAAUGCGUAGAGAUGUGGAGGAAUACCGAUGGCGAAGGUAGCCCCCUGGGCCAAAUACUGACGCUCAUGCACGAAAAGCGUGGGGGAGCAAAACAGGAUUAGAUACCCUGGUAGUCCACGCCCUAAAACGAUGUCAACUAGUUGUUGGGGAUUCAUUUCCUUAGUAACGUAGCUAACGCGUGAAGUUGACCGCCUGGGGAGUGCGGUCGCAAGAUUAAAACUCAAAGGAAUUGAC